rnacentral:lncRNA from 1 species
GAGGAAGAGUACUUCCAGAUAAGAUGCCACAUCUACCUAUGAGACAGAUAAGGUAAGUGAAGACGAUACCACACUUCGGUACUUAGAAGUUUCGUGAUUACGAGAUCAUUCUCCCAUGAUAUUUCCUAAUGUCAUUUGCACUAAAUCAUUCACUUGUGCAUCUCUGAAUGUUUAUUUUUUACGAUUUUUUAUGUAUGCAAUCUCGAAGUGUGUACAAAUAAGUUUGACGGUUGGAUCGUUGAAAAAAGUUUCGUAGAAUGCAUAUCGCAUCAAAACGGUAGAUUAAACAAACACUUAGAGUUAAUAUUAUACUUCCAUUAAGUAUAAAAUAAGAUUUUGUGGUAUCCACUAGUGUAAAUAUUUUAAAUUGAAGAUCGAAUUCAUUCAUUGCAUUCUUAUAGGGUCGAGGAGUGUAGCUGUAAAAAAAAUCAUCAAAACCGGAGCUAAAAUAACCGUUAAAUUGUGAUUUUUCGUUUAUAACCGUCGAAAACUUUUGUUUCGUUAUCUAGUCUCUCAAUGUUUUUUUUUGCGAUUUUUUAUGUAUGUGAUCUUGUAAUAUCUACAAACAAGUUUGACAAUUAAAUCAUUGAAACUAGUUUCGUAGAAUGCAUAUCUCCGUUAAAUUUGCCUAAAUUUUGAAGUGGGAAAAGUAAUUUGUGCUAAAUUUUUAUUUAUGUUUUUCAAGUAUUGAUUAGACAAUAUUUAGUUUGUGUGAUGACAUUUUCAUUGUACAAUUAUCUUUUUGUUUCUUUGUUGCAUAUUUUACAUGGGUUAUUAUCUAUUAAAUCAAACAAUUAUUUAUUUAAUUUUUAAAAACGUAUUCUAUAUAAAGACAUAUUAUUUAUUUAUUUAUUAAACCAAACAAUUAUUAUGUUAUUUUUUAAAAUCAUAACAAAUUUUUGGGGGGGGGGG